CAGGCGCCACCCAAUAAAAGUGCUUAAAAUGUUCUGUUCCUCAAUUAAAAUAUAAACCAGAGCUGUUUAAGGGCUUUUACGAGGUGAUUUCUAUUUACCUGACAGAUUUCCACACUGGAGGAGCACAAAGCAGGAUUUCAGUUUCUGAUCAGAGUGAUGGCUCUGCAAAAUAGUAAAGUUUCAAUUGUUUUAAUUUAUUUCUUUUGGGGGGUUGGGGGUUUUUUGUUUGUUUGUUUAAUUUCAGGAAUAAUAAAAAUCUGUUAAGAAGAAAGGAAUUCCUAUGCCAGAUAAAAAUGAGGAAGAACUUGGAAGGGUGAUCAUUGCUGAUCACACAUGCUGGAGGAACUGGGAUCCAGGAUGAACUCCUGGAGCCUGUGCCAGCACCUGCUAACCCUUCCUUCCAAAUGUCAUCAAACAAAAGCCAGGGAAAAGUACUCUGCUCUUGUUUGAAACAGCCUCUUAUGAAGAGAAACAAGACUAUGGCCAGACAAAAUCUCCCAUUUUCCCCUAAGAAACAGUGCGUGAAUGCUGUCAUGGCUGUUCCACUGCAGAUGGAUAUUUCAUCUCCCAUCCUGCCUUACUAUGACUCUCAAAAAAAAAAGAAACUUUCUUUUUACCUUCCUGCUACUCAAGCAGGAGGGGAUGUUACAUGGAAAACAAGCAUUUUCACUAAAAACCCCUCUACUUUCUGUUCCAGAGCCUCAGGAACUCACCUUCAGUGGCAUGAGAGGUGCAGAAAAGGCUUCGCCGUGUGCUGUUAUGCUUUUACAACGUGCUGAUCCCUGGUCUCCUGUGCCCCACCCUCUGGCAGCUCAUCACUCCAGUGCACCUGGUCAGCAUCAGGAGAAGAUUGUACUCCUGCAAGACAAAGCUUUCAGCACCUUAAACCUUCUGGUUUUAGAAAGCCAAAGAAGCUGGAAGCAAUCACGAUGCAGCUGCAGCGUUUUCAUGUGAAAUGCCCGAGCUGGGAACCACGGGAGCAGAGGCAUUCCUGCUGCGGGAAUGCGCCUGGGGAAGGAGCCGCUGGCUCUGUGAUGGAUCGCAGCAGCCACUGGAUGGCAUCGCUCCACACGAAUGGACCUGGAGCCGAGCUCGGCACGGCUGCUGUGCCCGGGAGAUCCAUCCAGCCCCGAGAGGCUCCGGCCACCGUGACCUCACCAACCCUUUAAACAACAUUCAGAGUUCUCCUGGCUGCCCGGCCGGGAGCUCCGGGCACUGAGUUUGGUCAGAGCGAACAAGGCAGACACCCUGAAGCAAACCUGUUUCCAGGCUGAGCGUGUUUGUCUUUCAUUUUAGUGACUCCGUGUGGCCAAGCCAGCUUGAGAAUGUCACUGGCCAAGUUCAUGCUCAAAAGAAAUCUGCUGGUGGCUUUGGUGCAGCAGGAUCUUUGGGACUGCAGCUCCACAGAAGGUGUAUCUGAAGGGGAAUACACUAUUUGUGGGGUCAGCUGGCAGUCACGGCCAGCAGAUUUAUCUUCAGCUAGGACAUGACACCAUCAGGACUUACCUCCCAAUCCAAACAGCAAGAGAACUGUGUCCAUCUUGAUGUGCUCAGCAGUCCGCUGGUAAAUGCUUUCAGCUGUCAGAAAUACUCAGGCUUGGUGGGAAAUUGAGGUUAUAUCAGCAGGAGGCUGCUCAGGUCCUUCUUCUGGUGACCACAGCUCUGCUGCAGUGGCUGUAAGAGAUCAGAACAACUGGCAGUGAUUUUCUGUUUCACAUCUCUGUUUGGUACCACUGCUUGAGGUCUUGUGUCACCCAUGGGAAGGCUUCUAUGAGGUGACACCAGAGAGCUCAGUGGGUUUGAUCUCUUUCCAUUGACUUUUGAGGAAAUGGCAAUUUCUCCCCAACUUCAGCACUUUCAGGGCUGUGUUUGAAAACAGGAAGGAUAAAUCUGAAUAUCUUCCUCUAUUUAAUAGUCAGGAGUGUAAAGACUAAAAGAAGGGUGUUUCAUACAGCUCCUACACUG